UACAGAGGAGCCAAGCGUUGUCCGGAUUGACUGGGCGUAAAGCGCACGCAGGCGGUCGGGCGCGUGGGGUGUGAAAUCUGGCCGCUUAACGGCCAGGCGCCAUCCCAUACGGCUCGACUGGAGUGAUGCAGAGGUCGAUGGAAUUGCCGGUGUAGUGGUGAAAUGCGUAGAUAUCAGGGGGAACACCUGCGGUGUAGACGGCUUACUGGACCAUAACUGACGCUGAGGCACGAAAGCGUGGGUAGCAAACAGG
rnacentral:rRNA from 1 species